rnacentral:snRNA from 1 species
AUUGCUUCUUGGCCUUUUGGCUAAGAUCAAGUGUAGUAUCUGUUCUUAUCAGGGAAUAUUUGUCUACCAGUAUCUGCCUAACACACUAAUUACAGUUCUCUUAGGAGCAUAGCCAGGUAGAGUUGCUGGAUUGUAUGGUAAUUCUAUUUCUCAUUUUUGGAAGGAACCAUCAUAUUA